rnacentral:rRNA from 1 species
ACGCUCGACACCUACGGGAGCCAGCAGUGGGGAAUAUUGCACAAUGGGGGAAACCCUGAUGCAGCGACGCCGCGUGAGCGAAGAAGUAUUUCGGUAUGUAAAGCUCUAUCAGCAGGGAAGAAACUGACGGUACCUGACUAAGAAGCACCGGCUAAAUACGUGCCAACAGCCGCGGUAAUCUGAGCGGGCUGGCAAGGC